rnacentral:rRNA from 1 species
UGCCAGCCGCCGCGGUAAUACGAAAGGUGCAAGCGUUGUUCGGAUUUACUGGGCGUAAAGAGAUCGUAGGUGGUUUAUUAAGUCAGUGGUGAAAUCUCGGGGCUCAACCCCGAAACUGCCAUUGAUACUGAUAAACUUGAGUUCAGUUGGAGUAGGCGGAAUGUGUAGUGUAGCGGUGAAAUGCUUAGAUAUUACACAGAACACCGAUAGCGAAGGCAGCUUACUAAACUGAUACUGACGCUGAGGCACGAAAGCGUGGGGAGCGAACAGGAUUAGAUA